rnacentral:rRNA from 1 species
UGGGGCAGCAUGUCCCGCAGCAAUGCGGGAUGAUGGCGACCGGCAAACGGGUGCGGAACACGUACACAACCUUCCUUUAAGUGGGGGAUAGCCCAGGGAAACUUGGAUUAAUACCCCGUAAUAUAUAGAAGCGGCAUCGCUUUUAUAUUAUAGCAGCAAUGCGCUUGAAGAUGGGUGUGCGGCUGAUUAGAUAGUUGGCGGGGUAACGGCCCACCAAGUCGACGAUCAGUAACUGGUGUGAGAGCACGACCAGUCACACGGGCACUGAGACACGGGCCCGACUCCUACGGGAGGCAGCAGUAAGGAAUAUUGGUCAAUGGACGCAAGUCUGAACCAGCCAUGCCGCGUGGAGGAUGAAGGUCCUCUGGAUUGUAAACUUCUUUUAUCUGGGAAGAAAUCCAUUUUUUCUAAAGUGGUUGACGGUACCAGAUGAAUAAGCACCGGCUAACUCCGUGCCAGCAGCCGCGGUAAUACGGAGGGUGCAAGCGUUAUCCGGAUUCACUGGGUUUAAAGGGUGCGUAGGUGGGUAAGUAAGUCAGUGGUGAAAUCUCCGGGCUUAACCCGGAAACUGCCAUUGAUACUAUUUGUCUUGAAUACUGUGGAGGUCAGCGGAAUAUGUCAUGUAGCGGUGAAAUGCUUAGAUAUGACAUAGAACACCAAUUGCGAAGGCAGCUGGCUACACAAAUAUUGACACUGAGGCACGAAAGCGUGGGGAUCAAACAGGAUUAGAUACCCUGGUAGUCCACGCCCUAAACUAUGGAUACUCGACAUUUGCGAUAAACUGCAAGUGUCUGAGCGAAGCAUUAAGUA